rnacentral:rRNA from 1 species
GUCUACGGCCAUGCUACCCUGAACAAGCCCGAUCCUGUCUGAUCUUGGAAGUUAGGCAGGGUCGGACCUGGUUAGUACUUGGGUGGGAGACCACCUAGGAAAAUCAGGUGCUAUAGGCA